rnacentral:rRNA from 1 species
CUUACCGGGUCCGGACACACUGAGGAUUGACAGGUAUUAUAUAGCGCGCUUGCGCGUCUAUUGUUAAAUAUGCUAGUCCUUUCAUGAUUAUGUGAUAGGUGGUGCAUGGCCGUUCUUAGUUCGUGGAGUGAUCUGUCUGCUUAAUUGCGUUUCAGAUAAGGAUCUAUAUUCUUUACAGAAGUGUUGCGUUGUGCAUUUGACCCCUCGUUCGCGAGUGCGUGUCUUUUCGCGCUCGCACGCUUUUUACAUUAGGUCCUGAAAGCAACGAACGUGACCGCAACCUCUUGUUGCCUCAUCUCCCUACUUUUUAGCACUUCGGUGUUAAUAAUUUCAUUGAGGCUUUCCAAAACUAGAGGGACCGCUGUCAACUUCUUAAACCAGAGGAAGGUUGCGGCAAUAACAGGUCUGUGAUGCCCUUAGAUGUUCCGGGCUGCACACGUGCUACAAUGAUUGUUGCAGUGAGCAUCUCAAUUUUUUACCUAACACCGCACACGUGAGUGCAUACUUGU